rnacentral:rRNA from 1 species
GUCCACACAGUAAACGAUGAAUACUCGCUGUUGGCGAUAUACGGUCAGCGGCCAAGCGAAAGCAUUAAGUAUUCCACCUGGGGAGUACGCCGGCAACGGUGAAACUCAAAGGAAUUGACGGGGGCCCGCACAAGCGGAGGAACAUGUGGUUUAAUUCGAUGAUACGCGAGGAACCUUACCCGGGCUUAAAUUGCAACUGACUGAACCGGAAACGGUUCUUUCUUCGGACAGUUGUGAAGGUGCUGCAUGGUUGUCGU